GGCACUUGAAAUUCAGCCAUACUUGAUGGAAGAAAAAUGUAAGACUGCAAUUCCUUUGUUAAUAAUGCUGUAUUGUUUUUUUUGCCUCCCCUCAUUGAAGUGCUCAUGCUUUUGAUAUUUUUUUUCCCUGGAAUUUUAAUGAUUUCUCAUCUCCUUCUUUUUUAUUGUUUAAGUCAGAUUUGGACUUUCUGUUUUCUAAUUUUUGGGUCAUCAUCUGUAGUGUCAAAGCACUUGAUAAUCACUUGACUGCUAUCCAAAGGGACCAUGAACUCAGGUCCCAAAUAGAAGAAAGGAAAAUAAGAAGUGAUGCGGCUUAUGAAGGGGCCAAAAGAAAAGAGAAAGCUCUCCUCGAAGAAAAACUCCGCCAAGAAAAAGCCAAAGCAGAAGCUGAGGCAAAACUCAGAGCUGAAGAAGCAAAUAUGGCUGCAAUGGAAGCUCAGAGAAGAGAAGCAAAAGAGGCUGCUGAAAGGGAGGCCAAUGAAGCGUCAAGCCAGGCUACUGUUCAGAAGGAAGCUUUAGGAUUGCAAACUAAAGCCAAAACCAAGGAAUCUGAAAUUGAAAAACCAAUAAAUUCAGCAUCAGCAGGUGUGUAGAUGUGACUGGAGCUUACAGUGCUCUAAAGACGGAGCAUAACAUAAGCUUGACAACAAUAGGCCUUUUGUGGACUACAACUGGCUUUAUUGCAAAGAGGAUUACACAUGGACCUGUGGAAGAAAGGGAAACAAGGGAAACAUGUAUAUGACAAGUGCACAACAAAUGGACUCACAACAAAGACAUGUGCACAAAGGAUGUUGAAUUGAAGGAUGGAGCAAGUUUCAUGCAUGGUUUACUUUUGUGUAUCUUGUAAUUUUUUGUUUUUCAUUUUUGAAGUAAAAAAUGUUCAAGAUUAUAAAACUUUAUUAUGUUAUGCUUUCAAACUUAAGUUAGAACUAAGAUCUCAUGAAAUAGACACAUUCAGAGUUUGAAUUAGUUAUUGUUUAAUGUAAUACUUAUGGUUUAUCAAUCUAUUAAGAAUUAUAUUUUAUGAUUAA